GAAAGAAAAAAAAAGGAGAGAAACCCUAGCUUCUUUUUUCUUGCCACUGCCGCCGGAAACAGCCACUGCAGACCGCUGGAAAUUGCCUCCGUUAGUCGCGUGUCGUCAACCAUUCACGAUCGUCGGACGAGCCGCCUCCGUCCAAGCCGCCGUCGCGCUGAGCCGUACGCGUUCCCCCACAUCAUUCGCAAGUCGUGCGCCUCCAUAGCUGCGUGAAGUCGAGCCGCUAGCUGCCAGCCGCAUGCGUGUCCUGCAAGCCGCACACGAGGAGCCGAGCCACCCCCAGUCGAGCACGUGCGUGAGUCGUGCACGUCCCCCCGAGUCGCAUCGCUCUCUCCCGCCUACACGAGCUGUUUUUCCUGCUCACAGUCGAGUGGCCAACCAUUCUUGAGUCGCCAAGCCUAUUUUUGGCCCUUUUUCACUUGUUGGACCAGUUGGACCAAUUGGAGUUUGGGGUGUGGAAUUUCUCCAGUUAAGGCAAAUUUGUUGGGACCUCGACCUUGGGACUUUGUUGCUUGGAAAGCGUGAUAUUUUACUGUUAGAUUUCGACUAAGCUAAUCUCCAGGUAAGAGAUUCUACUACCAGACCCUCGAGUUUAAUUUAAAGAGACCGCAUGUAUGAAUGAUUAUGUACCGAUGAUGGCUAGCUACAGAACUUGAGGUUACAGAUAGAAACUGAUAUUGUAAUUUUGACUGCAGGAUGACUUUGUGUUAGAGCUGAUAAUGCAUUGAUGUUAUCACCUACGUUUAAUGAUACAGUAUUGUGAUUGAGGAUGAUAUGACAUGAUAUGAUAUGAUAGGAUAGGAUAUGUAUGGUAUGACAUGUUAUGGCAUGAUAUGUUAUGAUAUGGUUUGAUGAUGUGAUAUGUGCAUGUUAUGAAUAUGGUGUACGUUAGCUUUACCUAUUAGAGUCAUACCCAUAUGAGUGUCCUUUAGGAUCACCACCCUUUUUGAUGAUUGUGUAUUCCGACGAGAUCACCAGUCUGACAUUGACAUUGAUAUAAACAUGAUUUAAGAGAUCCGACGGGAUCGCUCACACUUAUGACUGCGUAGUCUGACGGGACCACCAGUUUGACAUUGACAUUGACAUAGAAAUGAUUUGAGUGAUUCAACGAGAUCACUCACAGCCCGAUCGUCUUAGGUGUUCCUUUGGGUUCACUAAAGACCAGCUUGUUCCUAUGGGAUCACAGAUUGACGUGUUCAGAAACGUGUCAGAUCAGAGGCAGAGGUAGAGGUAAGAGCAAAGGCAAGCUGGUGAAUGACCAGAAGUGACCAUGGCGAGCCAUAGGGACACGUUUGCUUCCGCUUACGUCAUGUGUCAGAUUUUAGUGUCGAUAUUCUUUUCAUUUUAUUUUAUUUUAUUUAUUUCCUUGUUUUUCCCUUUAAAACUAGUAGGGCCCGAAUAGGAUUCUGUUUUAGUUUAUUUCUGCACAUUCUAUUUAUGA